rnacentral:rRNA from 1 species
UGGGGAAUAUUGCACAAUGGGGGAAACCCUGAUGCAGCGACGCCGCGUGAACGAAGAAGGUAUUCGUAUCGUAAAGUUCUGUCCUAUGGGAAGAUAAUGACAGUACCAUAGAAGAAAGCUCCGGCUAAAUACGUGCCAGCAGCCGCGGUAAUACGUAUGGAGCGAGCGUUGUCCGGAAUUAUUGGGCGUAAAUGGUACGCAGGCGGUUUAAUAAGUCGAAUGUUAAAGAUCGGGGCUCAACCCCGCAAAGCAUUGGAAACUGAUAAACUUGAGUAGUGGAGAGGAAAGUGGAAUUCCUAGUGUAGUGGUGAAAUACGUAGAUAUUAGGAGGAGUACCAGUAGCGAAGGCGACUUUCUGGACACAAACUGACGCUGAGGUACGAAAGCGUGGGGAGCAAACAGG